UACGGGGGUGCGAGCGUUGUCCGGAAUCACUGGGCGUAAAUGGCGCGUCGGCGGCCCGAUCAGUAGGGGGUGAAAUCCUGCGGCUUAACCGCAGGGCUGCCUUCUAAACUGUCGGGCUAGAGCACGGUAGAGGCAGAUGGAAUUCCCGGUGUAGCGGUGGAAUGCGUAGAGAUCGGGAAGAACAUCAGUGGCGAAGGCGGUCUGCUGGGCCGUUGCUGACGCUGAUGCGCGACAGCGUGGGGAGCAAACAGG
rnacentral:rRNA from 1 species